rnacentral:siRNA from 1 species
CAAAGAGCCUAGGCACGACAAUGU